AACCCAUGGUCCCAGAGAGGACUUCUAGGGGAAAUAGACAUACCGUAGCCCCUUUGAUGGCCUCGGCCUAGCCGGGCUAGACUGGCUCUCAGGUGGCCUCCAAGGCUGCAUGGCCCACAGCUGAGGCCCUUCAUCUGAGCCUGACUCAGUACACAAAAAUACAGGACAUACAGUUACGUUUAAAUUUCCGGUAAACGAGUACGUCCUUGGCUACAAGUAUGUCCCAAUUUUCUUUGGCUGCACUAUCGGGCUGCUUGCCUCUGCUGGCUUGUGCUGCCUGGAGCUUCUGCGUUGGGCCAAGGCUCCAGGAGCUCUCCAGCCAAAUUGGAUUACCCUGAUUUGUCGCACUGUUUGUGCCUCUGUGGGCAGCGGAAAUGACAGUGAGAUAUGAAGUCACUCGAGAGAGCGCAGUGACUGGAAUUCAGUUUUGAAGAGCCAGGCGGGCCGGCUGCGUGGGAGAUUGUGGGCGCCGGCUGACCCCAGCUGCCAUCAUCCACUCGCCCCAUCCCAGUGGUGUCAUGCAGCUGUUCCUCUUUCCUACGACCUUGAAGCAGGAGCAACGCAGGACUCAGGUGAGUUGAGGGGCCUGGAACCAGGUGGAGACCCGCCAGGGGCAGGAGGCCUUGUGUUCAGCCCAUCCUGGCCAAGAGGUGAGUGUGUGGGACCAGGGUGGGGGGAGUGUCUAGGGGAGGAAUGGGCCAUACAGCAGAGAGAUGGGGGGUCGUCUGAUUUGGAGGCACACUUGUCUUACAAAUCAAUAAUUUAAAGGCUACUUUCUUGCUGGCCAUGGGCAAUGAAUUCAGCACAAAGGGCUGGUGGCCUGCCUAUGUACCCACAUGUCUAUCCAGGAAAAAAACCUUUUAGAACCAUUUCACAACAUGGAAGAUAGUUUUGAAGAAACUAAAUCAGCAUUACCUUUAUUGAAGAGGAGCCAGACUUUGGGCUGCACACAGCCUUGGUCAGCCCACCUUUCCUCUGGGUCACAGCUCGGGCGCUGCCAGGCUUAGCCCUGGCUACACCCGAGGGCUCUUAAAACUACUGCUGUCCACGCCCCUACCCCCUGAACCUCUGCCUUAGUGGGCCUGGGGAGGGGCCUGGGCAGUAAUUGAGAUUUUUUUUAAAUACUCCCUGGAUUAUUUUCCCUGGGUCAAGAACCCUUGUUCUGACUGAAUACAGGGAGUAAAGAAGUAGGCCUCCAGGUCUAAGUGUGGAAGACCUCCUGCCCCCCCUCCAUUUUUCAAUACAGGUUUUCAAUAAAUCCUAGAAUGUCUGAGAUGCACUAAAUAGGAAGAUAAAAAUUCUAACUGGUUCAGAAACAUGUGCAUCGUACCCAAGUUCACUGGGUCAACCUGCCCAUUGUGUACCCCCAAGGUCAAUGGCAGUUUUCCAGCAUGGUCUUUGAUGCCAGGUGGUUAAGCAGUAGAAAAGGCCUCCAUUGAAGAGCCUCACCAGGCGUGUGGGGUGGGGGGUGGUGCGUAUUUCGCAGGAAACCACACGUGAAUGACCAUCUGACAACUCUGAGUCCCUGGUGGUGUCCAACUGCCCCCAGUCUUCCUGCACUCACGGUCAGCAGCCACCUGCCUUGACCUGGGCUUGCCCCGGCCUCCCUGGUGCACGUGCUCAGUGGUGCACCCAGUGGAACUCCCUAGGGGUAGGGACUCAACUUCCACUCCACAUGCAGCCCCUCAAACUUCCUGCUGGGGGGCUCCAUGCCCUGAGGGGCCCCCACUCUGCCAUAGUGACCCAGUCUGGAGGAGAAUUCCCCUAGGAUCCAACAGCCUCCCCACAGCCUGAGUGGCAAGUGCCAUCUUGCAACCUGACCCCUGGCAUGCUAGGUGACCCCGGCAGAAGAUCCUUUAGGACUCUGCCUUGGGAUAUUAAGGCGGCCAGCAGCUUACUCUCCUGCCAGACAAAGCCUGAGCUCUGAGGAUGCAAAAGACCAACACCACCUCUCUGGGCUGCUGCUUCCUAACGCGGAGCAGCUCCUCCGGUCACUGCUCUCCCCCCGCACCUGUUUUUGUUGUUUAAUAAACUUGGGCAGCUGCUCUUACCACAAA